rnacentral:rRNA from 1 species
CCUACGGGGGGCAGCAGUGGGGAAUUUUGGACAAUGGGCGCAAGCCUGAUCCAGCCAUGCCGCGUGAGUGAAGAAGGCCUUCGGGUUGUAAAGCUCUUUCGGCCGGAACGAAAUCGUCCGGGCUAAUACCUCGGAUGGAUGACGGUACUGGAAGAAGAAGCACCGGCUAACUACGUGCCAGCAGCCGCGGUAAUACGUAGGGUGCAGGCGUUAAGCGGAAUUACUGCGCGUAACGCGCUAACAGGGGGCUGAAAUCCCCGGGCUUAACCUGGGAACUGCGUUUGAAACUGGGAGGCUGGAGUGCGGCAGAGGGGGGUGGAAUUCCACGUGUAGCAGUGAAAUGCGUAGAUAUGUGGAGGAACACCGAUGGCGAAGGCAGCCCCCUGGGCCUGCACUGACGCUCAUGCACGAAAGCGUGGGGAGCAAACAGGAUUAGAUACCCGGGUAGUC